GACGAACGCUGGCGGCGUGCCUAAUACAUGCAAGUCGAACGCAGUGGGGACGGGUGAGUAACACGUGGGUAACCUCCCAUCAGAGGGGAUAACACUUGGAAACAGGUGCUAAACCGAUACUGAUGGAUGGACCCGCGGUGCAUUAGCUAGUUGGGGAGGUAACGUCUCACCAAGGCCACGAUGCAUAGCCGAUCUGAGAGGGUGAUCGGCAAAACUGGGACUGAGCCACGGCCCAGACUCCUACGGGAGGCAGCAGUAGGGAAUCUUGGGCAAUGGACGAAAGUCUGACCGAGCCAGGCCGCGUGAGUGAAGAAGGUUUUCGGAUCGUAAAGGUCUGUUAGUAGAGAAGCGGUAUCUAACCAGAAAGCAACGGCUAACUCCGUGCCAGCAGCCGCGGUAAUUC
rnacentral:rRNA from 1 species